rnacentral:rRNA from 1 species
GACGAACGCUGGCGGCAUGCCUAAUACAUGCAAGUCGAGCGGAAGUUGAAGAGCUUGCUCUUCAACUUUAGCGGCGGACGGGUGAGUAACACGUGGGCAACCUGCCCUGCAGAUCGGGAUAACUCCGGGAAACCGGUGCUAAUACCGAAUAGUUUUCGCCACCUCCUGGUGGCGUACGGAAAGACGGUUUCGGCUGUCACUGCAGGAUGGGCCCGCGGCGCAUUAGCUAGUUGGUGGGGUAACGGCCCACCAAGGCGACGAUGCGUAGCCGACCUGAGAGGGUGAUCGGCCACACGGGGACUGAGACACGGCCCAGACUCCUACGGGAGGCAGCAGUAGGGAAUCUUCCGCAAUGGACGAAAGUCUGACGGAGCAACGCCGCGUGAGUGACGAAGGUUUUCGGAUCGUAAAACUCUGUUGUGAGGGAAGAACAAGUACCAACUAACUACUGGUACCUUGACGGUACCUCACCAGAAAGCCACGGCUAACUACGUGCCAGCCGCCGCAGUAACAC